AAACCAAGGAGCUUGCUCCUUGGGGUUGUGGGACGUCUCACAUGGAGUUACAAAGGAACCGGUUAGAUGAAGAGGUCUGGAAAGGCCCGCCAGAGAAGGUAAAAGCCCUGUAGUUCAAAACUGGUUCCCUCCGAGACGGAUCCCGAGUAGUGCGGGGCACGUGAAACCCCGUAUGAAUCCGGCAGGACCAUCUGCCAAGGCUAAAUACUCCCUGGCGACCGAUAGUGAAGCAGUACCGUGAGGGAAAGGU
rnacentral:rRNA from 1 species